GGCAUCCAUAUGCAGGGCAAACUAUUUUACAGUCUUAUCUUGUAUAAUAUGACAUAAACAUUGAAUUUGAUUUUUUUAUUUUCACAUCCGAACACAACACACGAACAUGAAGGGAUGCGUUUGCAUUUGCAACCAACCCCUCCGCAAACCCCCCUGCGGAAUACUGGCCACGGACCGGGGUGGGAAUCCCCAAGCUGGAAGACUGUACUGCGUCAUGUUAACAUUAGCUAGCUAGUUAGCAUGGAUACAGAGUGCACCGGACUAAAACUAUAAAACAUUUGCAGCCAUUAACUUAUAGGUGGUAGUAACACGGAAAUGACUCUUUCUGCGUCAAAAUAAGACAGACACAACAAUGAAGAGAUGACAAAGACACAGUUUGAAAAAUCGCAGGAGCCGUUGCUGUCCGGACGACGGAGGAACUUCAGCUGGGGCCUCCUCCUCGUCGCUCCUUCUUCCUCCAGCGUGGGUAGCCUGUCCCUCCCGCUCCACGGACGAACCCUCUGGCCCUGAUGGCAAGACACUUCAAAAUGCAACCAGUCGUUAAGAUGCUCGAAAGCAGUUUGAGAAGAUAAGUACAUGUGAUUCAAAAGCAAUCAAGUUGUUGUCACGGACGCCCAUUCGUACCAUAACAGACAAUGCGAUACUAUGCAGCUCGUCGGCGACUUUCGGCCGCGUUCGGCUCCGAUUCGACUGUAAGCAGAUUGCCACUCUGACGUAUGUGGCGCGAGACUCGGGCUUUCGGACUCAAACGCUCACAGCAAU